UACGUAGGGGGCAAGCGUUGUCCGGAUUUAUUGGGCGUAAAGAGCGUGUAGGCGGCUUUGCAAGUCCGUUGUGAAAACUCGAGCUCAACCUCGAGACGCCGGUGGAAACUGCAAAGCUAGAGUCCGGAAGAGGAGAGUGGAAUUCCUGGGUGUAGCGGUGAAAUGCGCAGAUAUCAGGAAGAACACCCGUGGCGAAGGCGGCUCUCGUGGGACGGUACUGACGGCUGAGACGCGAAAGCGUGGGGAGCGAACAGG
rnacentral:rRNA from 1 species